AACGAACGCUGGCGGCAGGCCUAACACAUGCGAGUCGAGCGCCCUUUCGGGGGAGCGGCGGACGGGUGAGUACCGCGUGGGAAUAUGCCCUUCUCUACGGAAUAGCCUCGGGAAACUGAGAGUAAUACCGUAUACGCCCUUUGGGGGAAAGAUUUAUCGGGAUAGGAUUAGCCCGCGUUGGAUUAGGUAGUUGGUGGGGUAAUGGCCUACCAAGCCGACGAACCAUAGCUGGUUUGAGAGGAUGAUCAGCCACACUGGGACUGAGACACGGCCCAGACUCCUACGGGAGGCAGCAGUGGGGAAUCUUAGACAAUGGGGGCAACCCUGAUCGAGCCAUGCCGCGUGAGUGAUGAAGGCCUUAGGGUUGUAAAGCUCUUUCAGCUGGGAAGAUAAUGACGGUACCAGCAGAAGAAGCCCCGGCUAACUCCGUG
rnacentral:rRNA from 1 species